rnacentral:misc_RNA from 1 species
AACUAGGAUCUGUUUGUUCCAAACAUUGGAUGUCAGUGACUAAUGAAAUUUAAUUUGCGUGUAAGCACAAUUUCAUUCUGGUGUACCAUUUAUUUUUGAGACUCUAUCUCGGUUUUGGGGUGCCCACAAUAUGUUGAAUCAUAAUUCUAGUUUUACCAACUUGUUUUUGACUUUGUAACGGAUUUAAAAAUUUAGGGAAUACAACAUCAUUUGACAUUAAGUAAGGUUCGUCUCUACUGACCAACUCUCCUGCAUCUUUCAGAUUGACUAAUUAUCGCUUUUAAUUGUUGGGACAUUAGAUUCGGGAUAUAGUAGUAUUCAUGUUGGUCAUGUCACACACACUAGUGGAAGGGAGGGAGGGAUAUCAUGUGACAAGUGCUCUCCUAAAUAAAUUUUUAAGUUUUUUCUUGUAUUCAGGAUAAUAUAAACCUUUAACAUUAAUACCAAAAGCCCUUUUUCUAUGCCAAUGUUGUUUGGAAUUUCCUUCAUAUCUUUUUUUCUUCCAUGUUUGAAGUCCCAAAUGAGUAUUAGAAUGACA